UGAUUUGACGAUGGAUUACCAGUGAGCGGCGGACGGGUGAGUAACACGUGGGCAACCUGCCCUGGAGCGGGGGAUAACACUUGGAAACAGGUGCUAAUACCGUAUAACAACAAAAACCGCAUGGUUUUUGUUUGAAAGGUGGCUUCGGCUAUCACUCCAGGAUGGGCCCGCGGUGCAUUAGCUAGUUGGUAAGGUAACGGCUUACCAAGGCAAUGAUGCAUAGCCGAGUUGAGAGACUGAUCGGCCACAAUGGAACUGAGACACGGUCCAUACUCC
rnacentral:rRNA from 1 species